rnacentral:rRNA from 1 species
UACGUAGGGGGCAAGCGUUAUCCGGAUUUACUGGGUGUAAAGGGAGCGUAGACGGAAUGGCAAGUCUGAUGUGAAAGGCAGGGGCUCAACCCCUGGACUGCAUUGGAAACUGUCAGUCUUGAGUACCGGAGGGGUAAGCGGAAUUCCUAGUGUAGCGGUGAAAUGCGUAGAUAUUAGGAGGAACACCAGUGGCGAAGGCGGCUUACUGGACGGUAACUGACGUUGAGGCUCGAAAGCGUGGGGAGCAAACA